rnacentral:rRNA from 1 species
GAUGAACGCUAGCGGCAGGCCUAACACAUGCAAGUCGAGGGGCAGCACAGGUAGCAAUACUGGGUGGCGACCGGCGGAUGGGUGCGUAACGCGUAUGCAACCUACCAUUGAUUGGGGCAUAGCCCGAAGAAAUUCGGAUUAAUACUCCAUAAUAUUCAUUAAAGGCAUCUUUUAUGAAUUAAAGCUUUUGCGAUCAAUGAUGGGCAUGCGUGACAUUAGUUAGUUGGUGAGGUAACGGCUCACCAAAACGAUGAUGUCUAGGGGUUCUGAGAGGAUUAUCCCCCACACUGGUACUGAGACACGGACCAGACUCCUACGGGAGGCAGCAGUGAGGAAUAUUGGUCAAUGGACGCAAGUCUGAACCAGCCAUGCCGCGUGCAGGAUGACGGCCCUAUGGGUUGUAAACUUCUUUUACAGGGAAUAAAGUGAGUCACGUGUGAUUUUUGUCAUGUACCCUGUGAAUAAGCAUCGGCUAACUCCGUCG